AACGAGAGAGGAUCGGUGCUUGCACUGAUCCAAUCGAGUGGCGGACGGGUGAGUAACGCGUGGGUAACCUGCCUCAUACAGGGGAAUAACAGUUGGAAACGGCUGCUAAAACCGCAUAAGCGCACAGUAUCGCAUGAUACAGUGUGAAAAACUCCGGUGGUAUGAGAUGGACCCGCGUCUGAUUAGCUAGUUGGUGAGGUAACGGCCCACCAAGGCAACGAUCAGUAGCCGGCCUGAGAGGGUGAACGGCCACAUUGGGACUGAGACACGGCCCAAACUCCUACGGGAGGCAGCAGUGGGGAAUAUUGCACAAUGGGGGAAACCCUGAUGCAGCGACGCCGCGUGAGUGAUGAAGUAUUUCGGUAUGUAAAGCUCUAUCAGCAGGGAAGAUAAUGACGGUACCUGACUAAGAAGCACCGGCUAAAUACGUGCCAGCAGCCGCGGUAAUACGUAUGGUGCAAGCGUUAUCCGGAUUUACUGGGUGUAAAGGGUGCGUAGGUGGUGAGACAAGUCUGAAGUGAAAAUCC
rnacentral:rRNA from 1 species